UUUGUUGGUUUUCUCCAGUGAAGUGAGAGAUAAACUAAAGUAAAACAAUGGCUGACAAACCAAAUAUCAGUGAAAUCUCUCAGUUUGACAAGACCAAGCUGAAGAAAACUGAGACGCAGGAGAAAAACACACUUCCCACCAAAGAGACCAUUGAACAGGAGAAAAAAUGUGAGGCGUAAAUUAUCAACAGAUGUUCACCAAGGGCAAGAUGUAGAGGAUGAGAUGUGCGCUCAUGUGAUUUGUGAAGAGGCAGUCAACUUUGCACUGAGGAUGUUUAACUCUGAAAGAUCUAUGUGAAUCCAUCUGUAUAAGAAAAUGAGUUUUGUCUGCCUUCAUUUUGAACUUUGGUGAAAUAAACCUUUACAAUGAA